CACGUAAGAAUUUGCCUUUAGGAGGGGGACAACAACUGGAAACGGUUGCUAAUACCCCAUAAGCUUUUUAGUUAAAAUAGGAUUUUUCCGUCCUAAAGAGAAGCUUGCGGCUGAUUAGCUUGUUGGUGAGGUAAUGGCUCACCAAGGCAACGAUCUCUAGCUGGUCUGAGAGGAUGAUCAGCCACACUGGGACUGAGACACGGCCCAGACUCCUACGGGAGGCAGCAGUGGGGAAUAUUGGACAAUGGGCGCAAGCCUGAUCCAGCCAUGCCGCGUGUGUGAAGAAGGCUUUCGGGUUGU
rnacentral:rRNA from 1 species